rnacentral:rRNA from 1 species
UACAGAGGUCUCAAGCGUUGUUCGGAUUCAUUGGGCGUAAAGGGUGCGUAGGUGGUCGGGUAAGUCUGAUGUGAAAGCUCUGGGCUCAACCCAGAAAUGGCAUUGGAUACUAUCUGGCUAGAGGAAUGGAGGGGGGACUGGAAUACUUGGUGUAGCAGUGAAAUGCGUAGAUAUCAAGUGGAACACCAGUGGCGAAGGCGAGUCCCUGGACAUUUCCUGACACUGAGGCACGAAAGCUAGGGGAGCAAACAGG